UACGGGGGGAGCAAGCGUUGUUCGGAUUUACUGGGCGUAAAGGGCGCGUAGGCGGCCACCGCAAGUCGACUGUGAAAUCUCCGGGCUUAACCCGGAAAGGUCAGCCGAUACUGCGGGGCUAGAGUGCAGAAGGGGCAACUGGAAUUCUCGGUGUAGCGGUGAAAUGCGCAGAUAUCAGGAAGAACACCCGUGGCGAAGGCGGCUCUCUGGGACGGUACUGACGCUGAGACGCGAAAGCGUGGGGAGCAAACAGG
rnacentral:rRNA from 1 species